AGCCCCGGCUAACUACGUGCCAGCAGCCGCGGUAAUACGUAGGGGGCUAGCGUUAUCCGGAUUUACUGGGCGUAAAGGGUGCGUAGGCGGUCUUUCAAGUCAGGAGUGAAAGGCUACGGCUCAACCGGAGUAAGCUCUUGAAACUGGGAGACUUGAGUGCAGGAGAGGAGAGUGGAAUUCCUAGUGUAGCGGUGAAAUGCGUAGAUAUUAGGAGGAACACCAGUUGCGAAGGCGGCUC
rnacentral:rRNA from 1 species